rnacentral:lncRNA from 1 species
CGUUUCAAUCCUGCCGAGCUCAAGGAUUGCAAUUUCGUGUCAAUCCUGGUACACAGUCACGAGCUGUAGUACAACAAAAUUCAAUGAUGGUGGGUCGUAGAUGAAUAGUAAAGCUGCAUGCAAAUAUUGCAUAGCCCCAAGACGCAAUAGAAAGAGUGGUGCGCAUCAAUAAUGUUCAAGCAACAAGCUAAAGUUGCUUGGUCGUAGCCUCGGUGAGACCGUAUUGCGUGUGAACAUGGGGUACAGGACACUUCAACUUACAUCCCGAUGAACUUCUUUAAAGAAUGGAUAGUGAGCCCGUAAAAGUAUAAGCAGCAUAAGCAGUAGAUAAUAGUGUAACACGUGACCAGUGUGUUAACACUUCAACCAACACCAUAAAGCAUAAAAGGUGUCCGCAAGUUGGUUGUAUCUAUCUACAUAAUUUUAUGUAAGAAUAGAAUGUUCACUUUUGUGUUAUUUAGCAUAGGAGGGUCUCACUCCUAAUUUAGCUAAAGAAUAGGCUUUCAAAAUGAGGAAUGAGCAUUGCAGGGGGUCAAUGCGACAUCGAGGGAAGGCCGAUACACCUCAAUUGCUUGAGGAAUUGACCGGACGACCUCCAGGAAGUUGGAGUCGUGUUCGGGUGACGUCAAUGUCCUCCGGGUCACCACCAUGCUUCAUGGUGAUGCUAGAUCUCGAAUGUCUUCGUUUUAAGCGGAAGAAUGGAUGUCCAUGAGAAUUUCUCAAAAUUUGGAUCAUUAUAUCUCUUCCAGGUUGACCAAUUUAGUCAAACCAAAGCCUAUAUGAGUCAGUGUCCCAAAUAUCAUGUUUGGCGACAGCAUGAGAUUCGAUAUUCGAAUCAUAGUGACAUACAGUUCACUAGAUUGACUCAUGAAUUUUUUCAAGAUGCGCUUCAGUCCGCAUUCAUGAGAAGGUAUACACAAAAGAAUUCUUGUUCAUUCUCACAAUGUGUUUUCAAAUGAAAACCAUUAGCAGGAAUGUCUUUAAAGCUCAAUAAGGUUCGAUUGCCUCUCAAUGCAUAGAGGGUAUCUGUGACAUUGAUCAUGGUGCCAUGAGACAUCAAGAUUUAAGCUAAACCGCGUCCUUGAAUGACCGGUAUGAUUCAAUCAUUGUAGUCACAGAAGAUUUACAAAGGCACAAAAUCCAAAGAUAGUUGCCGGUUCCUUAGAAUGUUGUGGAUAGUUCCACUAUCUGCGAAGCACUCAAUGUCUCGAUGAGACAUAUCUACAAGAAGGAGUAGAUAGGCUAGUUAAUAGUUCCACUUGAACCAUUUAGAAGGAUUGAAAGAAGCUACGAAAAGCUGCAAUCCCGAGAGUGCAUAAAAAUUUCCGCGCAGAAUGACCUUUGCGCACUAAAACAGCCAUAACUUCUUCGUUAAAAUAGAUAUGGACGAACCGUGAAACGUUCUGAAAACUAGACUCAUAGAGCUUUCCAAUGAUAUAAAGCUCACUGUCUAGUUCGUCCAGAGCUGUUCACAAAGCUCAAACGAAGUUGACUUUCCAGAAGGGACAGAUUGCUGUUUUUCGCAGAUUUGACAUGUGCGAAGCUGUGAAGCUUGCAGGUGGCGUGUAGGCUUUUGCCUUAGCCAAAAGUGACGUGUGUAUGAUCAAAACCAAGUCCUUUCGAUCGUUCUAAGGUCGUAAACUCCAUGACUAGUUAGCAAAAGCUCCCUGACAUGAACAUAAACUAACUCAGAGGACCUAGAGGAUCCGAUUAUGAUGAUAAUUUCCAGCUUGAUAAGUCUUCAACGUCUUUUGCAAGACGGCAAUUGGUUAAUAGCGUAGGGGGAUCCGAAAAUCAAAAGCUUACGGUAACUC